AUUGAACGCUGGCGGCAGGCUUAACACAUGCAAGUCGAGCGGGGAAGGGUAGCUUGCUACCUGACCUAGCGGCGGACGGGUGAGUAAUGCUUAGGAAUCUGCCUAUUAGUGGGGGACAACAUUCCGAAAGGAAUGCUAAUACCGCAUACGCCCUACGGGGGAAAGCAGGGGAUCUUCGGACCUUGCGCUAAUAGAUGAGCCUAAGUCAGAUUAGCUAGUUGGUGGGGUAAAGGCCUACCAAGGCGACGAUCUGUAGCGGGUCUGAGAGGAUGAUCCGCCACACUGGAACUGAGACACGGCCCAGACUCCUACGGGAGGCAGCAGUGGGGAAUAUUGGACAAUGGGCGAAAGCCUGAUCCAGCCAUGCCGCGUGUGUGAAGAAGGCCUUUUGGUUGUAAAGCACUUUAAGCGAGGAGGAGGCUACCGAGAUUAAUACUCUUGGAUAGUGGACGUUACUCGCAGAAUAAGCACCGGCUAACUCUGUGCCAGCCGCCGCAGUAAUAC
rnacentral:rRNA from 1 species